GGGCAAAUUUUGCGUUCCACAUAAUUGAAAGAAUAGUUUUUGCUUAUGUUAUUAGUUGUUACAAUGUACGAGAAAAUAUCCACUUCACUACUUUCGAUUCACAGUUCCACGUGGAGCCAGUCGUCUUUGUCUUUUCAUGGCCCAAGAUACCAGAAAAGGGUCUUUUAUUCCCCAAAUAAACUCUUUUCUUGUCCAUAUAGUUAAAACAUA
rnacentral:lncRNA from 1 species